UGAGUGUGGGAGGGAGAAGCCCAGAGAGAGCAGGCACAGCAGAGGGAGACCUGUCUAGACAGAAGUGCUGUUCUGCCUGUUAUGAAAACAAUGGCACCAAUACACCAUACUAGCUGAUCCAACUACUCAGCACAAAGAGAAAAAUUAUUCUGGGAGCCUCAGUGCCUGGUUUAUUGGAGAUAAUGUACAUUGAAGAGAACAUACAUCAGCUGUCAUCCAUCAGAUCCCACCCCUUGCUAACCACCAGCCCCCCAAAAGAAAUACAAGAGCCACUCAGGACUAGUAUGAAAACAGCAGAUCCUUUUAUUAAUAAGUGUAAUAAAUUAUUUAGACAAAAAUUAGAAUUGAGUUUAUGACCAAAAGAGCGUGGAAUCACGUGCUUGUCCCACUGUUAAUACUGUAACGUGUUACCUGUCAUACCAGUCACCCUCAGCAGCCACAUUGGAUGGGAAUUUAGGGCAUCCAAACAUAAAUCAUCUCUCCAGAGAGCCUAAUCCGCAGAGAAUCAAAUGCCCACACCUUUCUGACUGCCAUUUACAUUGCCUGCCCCUGUAAGUUGUGAAAUUCAAUCAAAAAGACCCACCAACUACAGACUCCAACAAAUGGGUGGGAUGGAUGCUGCUCCUCUGCUCCAAUUGAUUUCCUUGGGAAAACCCUGUUUCCUGACUCAGUCAAAGCUCUACCUUCUAUUUCCAGGUCUACAGGUACAGUUCUAUUCCCUGCGCGCCCUCUCUCUCUCUCUCUCUCUGCUGAUGUCACAGCCCUGAGACGAGACACGGGGAGAUGGAGGGAGGGAGGCCAAGAGAGGAGGGACAGUCGGGAGAGCAGCUCAGAAUGAAAUGCUGAGAAGGGAAAGCGCACAUCUCAGGAGUGAGGGGAAAAAGGAUCAGGAGUGAAGGGGAAAAAGGAGAGCACAAGUACUGCUGCUGCCUUUAACCUUAAACAAAUAUGUGUAUCCAACCAUGUCCCUGCGUGAUUGCUUUCUCCCCCGCACUGUCUCGACUAGGGUUGCCAUCUUUUAAAAAAAAAAAAAUACCGGGCAGUGGUGGGGGCGGAUAAUAAAGGGACGGACCGUGACGCAAAGGGGGGCGGAGCCGACGUUCAGCGGCACAAAAAGGGGUGGGCCACAGGGUAGCGCCGCAAAAGGGGAGGGGCCACAUCGCAGAAGCCAAAGGAAAUGUAUGUUUUUACUGGAGGGCAAGGGCCUUUGUAAAGGGUAUUACAAAUUACCGGCAGCUACAUUGCCGGUAAAUCUGUAAUACCGGCCCCGGCAGGUGUUUUACCGGCUAGGCCAGUAAAAUACCGGCAGGGUGGCAACCCUAGUCUCGACUGAAAAGAUCCCCUUUCCCUCAUUACACCCAGUGCUGCAAGUUUAAACUUCAGUAAACAUUUGCAUUUAAGCCAUUUCGUUGCCUAGUAAGUAUGACAGUCAAUGGGAUUGCUCCGUGCAGAAUGAUGUGAUAUCAAAAGAGGGAGCUGUAGAGAAUGUGUCUGGCCAUUCAUGUUUCAUUUGUUGUAUUUACAAAUGGCUAAAACUAUGGCAGCAUAGGUAUUCCCCUGUACUAAGCACAAUUCAGCAGGAACAGUCCCUUAAGUUUGCUCAUAGUCAUAGUGUACAGAGAAAUCCCAUAUAUUGUAGUGGCUUCACAUUUCAUUUUGCCUGGGAUCCAGCAUGUCAGACUGAAUGUCGGCCACCACACAUUUUCACCUCACCAAAUCUGCCCCUCCUUGUAAAAAGUUUGGACACCCCUGCUCUAAAUUCACUUUUUGAUAUUGAUAAAUAUUGAUAAAUAUUACACUAGUGCCCCUUCCCCAAUAUACAGUCUACAGCCGCACUGGGUGAAAAUAGGAGCCUAAACACACGCUGGGAAAGAACUAGAAACAAGACAGCAAGUCGGCAAGAACUAUUUAGUGAGGGCAACUAACUAGAUUUCCGCUAACUAGCAGGAAACACAAAAAAAAAAUUCUCGCGCCAUUUCCCCAGCAAACAGGGGCGGAGCAAGCAGCAUCGUCAUCGAAGGCGGCGCAGCUUCAAGGAAAGGGGCGUGGCUACGUUGUUGCGUGAGGGAACGCGGGAGCUGUGGAGAAAGUUUGGCGCGAGUGCAGCCUGGACUUGAAGGAACUGAACGCCGCGUGUCGUUCGCAAGUUGCAGCAUGCCUGUGGGACAGAGCUCGGCCGAACCGGUGUCACCCGCAUCUGAAAUGGAGCCACCUGCUGAUGACUUAAUCACUGAAUCCAUGAUAAGGGAAGAGGAAAAGCUGGAAAAAGCUGCUGCGGUGGAGGAGAGAAAGAUGAUUGAGAAGGUAAAGACUUUUUUUUUUUU